rnacentral:rRNA from 1 species
UACGUAGGGGGCAAGCGUUGUCCGGAAUCAUUGGGCGUAAAGAGCGUGUAGGCGGCUCGAUAAGUCUGCUGUGAAAGUCCAGGGCUCAACCCUGGAAGGCCGGUGGAAACUGUCGGGCUAGAGUCCGGAAGAGGCGAGUGGAAUUCCCGGUGUAGCGGUGAAAUGCGCAGAUAUCGGGAGGAACACCAAUGGCGAAGGCAGCUCGCUGGGACGGUACUGACGCUGAGGCGCGAAGGCGUGGGGAGCGAACGGG